rnacentral:SRP_RNA from 2 species
GCCGAGCCUUGUAAUGUGAGCUUGUAACCUAAGUGGGGGUAACAAUGUGGUGGAAUGUUGGGCUGAUCUUGAUGGUUGGGCUUGGUGGACUAAUCUCUGACCUGCCCUAUCCAAGCACAGAGUUGGGCUAUGUGGUCCAAAUGAAAGUAUGGGCUGCUUGGCUCUUAGAGUGGGGUAAAUUGAGUGAGACUGGUUUCACAGAGCAACGAAUAGUCCUCGCUUUGUGAUGUGAAAGGAUAAUGAGCUGGUGCUCUCUAAGCUCAAUAAAAAAAUUGUUGAAAAUAUAUCUAUUUUA